rnacentral:rRNA from 1 species
GACGAACGCUGGCGGCGUGCUUAACACAUGCAAGUCGAACGGAAAGGCCCUGCUUUUGUGGGGUGCUCGAGUGGCGAACGGGUGAGUAACACGUGAGUAACCUGCCCUUGACUUUGGGAUAACUUCAGGAAACUGGGGCUAAUACCGGAUAGGAGCUCCUGCUGCAUUGUGGGGGUUGGAAAGUUUCGGCGGUUGGGGAUGGACUCGCGGCUUAUCAGCUUGUUUGUGGGGUAGUGGCUUACCAAGGCUUUGACGGGUAGACGGCCUGAGAGGGUGACAGGCCACAUUGGGAAUGAGAUACGGCACAGAAUACUACGGGAGGCAGCAGUGGGGAAUAUUGCACAAUGGGAGGAAGCAUGAUGCAGAAACGCAGCGUGCGGGAUGAAGGGCUUGGGGUUGAAAAAAGAUUUAGAAUGUGAAGAAGAGUGAGUGACGGUAAUGGGUAAAGAAGCACCGGCUAACUACGUG